UCUGGGAAAGAAUAUCAGAACUGUUAUCAUAUAAGUGCCCCUAAGACCAACACCACUAGAGGGCUGAUUCAUGGUCUGUCAUAACCGGGAAGUUCUCUAAGAAAAGUGAAGCCACAACCCACUAGCAUCCAGGCAAGCAAGGUCUAGUGGAGAUGGGCAAAUUUGGGUUCAAUUCUAGCCUCACCUGUGACUUCAGGCUUGUUCCCUAUUCUGAGUCUCAAAGUCCUGUGUCUCUAAAUUGAGGAUAAGGAGACACUUCCCUUGUAAAUUUAUUGUGAAGAUAAGACAUAAUUUAUAUAAUGUGCCUGACACAUAGUAGGUACUUAAUAAAUUAUAGCAAUUUUGAUGAUAAUUGGGUGAAUAUAAUUUGAGCCAUAGAAUGGCCCAGCUUGCAAAUCAUCUGGUUCAAUUUCAUAAUUAUACAGGUGAAGACCAGAGGUGAUAGGGAAUUUGCCCAAGAGCACAAAGCUGGUUUAGCAAAGCCAGAACUAGAUUUGGGGCUUCUAAUACGUUCUCCUGUAUUCUUUCCUUUCUAGCUAACAGAGCCAAACUAUCUUACAUUUAAGGAGCUGCUUACGACUUUGCCAUUUCGGUGGGCUAGCAGGGAAAUCUGACACAGCUAGAAAGCAAUGGAAAACACUAAGGGUUGCAUCAGAUAUUGAAGAGGAACUGAUCACACCAUGGAGAUAAAAAUGAUCUCUUUUUAAGGGAGAUUAAAAAUAAAAGCUGGUCACUUAAAGGUAGCAGUCUUUUGGGGAGAAGCUAAUAAGGGUUCCAGAGGCCAAUUUGUCCCUUGUAACCAAUGUUGAUCGCAUGUUAGAAUGAGGGAUGUGUGUGUUUUGGUGCUAUACCUCUUCCUCUCAGCAUAGAUUUGCAAGGCAGGCUCAAAUAAAUUUUCAGCCCCUUUCAA